UUAAGAAGUAAACAAUAAUCGGAAAUUUGGAAACAGAGUUUUGGUUUAUCCAUGGCGGCGUUUGCGUUCCUGCUACUGCUCCUGCUCCUCCACGAAGCAGCACAGGCACAGCCUCAGAAUUCUUCUCAACCUAUUACUGAUCCCGCCCAAGAUUGGGCAAGCGAUUUGGAAGAUAGAAAAUCCAUGUGGGUACUGUCUACCUAGGUAACAUGGCUUGAGGAGCCACUAUCAGUAUACAGAGAUGGAUCAACCACUACCUCUAUUGCUACAAUAUAAGCCAUCAAUGGCUCCCAUUGUCUGAUUGUGAUUGAGGAUCCAAGUAAUCUUUAUUGAAACAAAACCCAACAACUUAAUGCACCGUGUCCAUAUUUGCCACAUGCUUGGCAAGUUGGUCUAAGACCAUUUUUUUUUACCUAC